rnacentral:rRNA from 1 species
AGCGAACGCUGGCGGCAGGCUUAACACAUGCAAGUCGAGCGGGCACCUUCGGGUGUCAGCGGCAGACGGGUGAGUAACACGUGGGAACGUACCCUUCGGUUCGGAAUAACGCUGGGAAACUAGCGCUAAUACCGGAUACGCCCUUAUGGGGAAAGGUUUACUGCCGAAGGAUCGGCCCGCGUCUGAUUAGCUAGUUGGUGGGGUAACGGCCUACCAAGGCGACGAUCAGUAGCUGGUCUGAGAGGAUGAUCAGCCACACUGGGACUGAGACACGGCCCAGACUCCUACGGGAGGCAGCAGUGGGGAAUAUUGGACAAUGGGCGCAAGCCUGACCCAGCCAUGCCGCGUGAGUGAUGAAGGCCUUAGGGUUGUAAAGCUCCUUUGUCCGGGACGAUAAUGACGGUACCGGAAGAAUAAGCCCCGGCUAACUUCGUG